UACGUAGGGGGCAAGCGUUGUCCGGAUUUAUUGGGCGUAAAGAGCGUGUAGGCGGCCAGACAAGUCUGCUGUGAAAACCUCGAGGCUCAACCUCGAGCUGUCGGUGGAAACUGUCUGGCUAGAGUCCGGAAGAGGAGAGUGGAAUUCCUGGUGUAGCGGUGAAAUGCGCAGAUAUCAGGAAGAACACCCGUGGCGAAGGCGGCUCUCUGGGACGGUACUGACGCUGAGACGCGAAAGCGUGGGGAGCGAACAGG
rnacentral:rRNA from 1 species